rnacentral:rRNA from 1 species
GACGAACGCUGGCGGCGUGCUUACCACAUGCAAGUCGAACGAAGUGGCGAACGGGUGAGUAACGCGUAAUCAACCUGCCCUUCAGAGGGGGACAACAGUUGGAAACGACUGCUAAUCCCGCAUACUGAAGGAGGGGAUUGCGUCUGAUUAGCUCGUUGGAGGGGUAACGGCCCACGAAGGCGAUGAUCAGUAGCCGGUCGUAUAGUAUGAACGGCCACAUUGGGACUGAGAAACGGCCCAGACUCCUACGGGAGGCAGCAGUGGGGAAGCUUCCGCAAUGGACGAAAGUCUGACGGAGCAACGCCGCGUGAGUGAUGACGGCCUUCGGGUUGUAAAGCUCUGUUAAUCGGGACGCGGUACCGGAAUAGAAAGCCACGGCUAACUACGUGCCAGCAGCCGCGGUAAUAC